rnacentral:rRNA from 1 species
GACGAACGCUGGCGGCGUGCUUAACACAUGCAAGUCGCACGGAAAGGCCCUGCUUUUGUGGGGUGCUCGAGUGGCGAACGGGUGAGUAACACGUGAGUAACCUGCCCUUGACUUUGGGAUAACUUCAGGAAACUGGGGCUAAUACCGGAUAGGAGCUCCUGCUGCAUGGUGGGGGUUGGAAAGUUUCGGCGGUUGGGGAUGGACUCGCGGCUUAUCAGCUUGUUGGUGGGGUAGUGGCUUACCAAGGCUUUGACGGGUAGCCGGCCUGAGAGGGUGACCGGCCACAUUGGGACAGAGAUACGGCCCAGACUCCUACGGGAGGCAGCAGUGUGGAAUAUUGCACAAUGGGCGGAAGCCUGAUGCAGCAACGCCGCGUGCGGGAUGACGGCCUUCGGGUUGUAAACCGCUUUCGCCUGUGACGAAGCGUGAGUGACGGUAAUGGGUAAAGAAGCACCGGCUAACUACGUG